CACUGCCUCACCGCUCUUUUGGAGAAGAAAUAUUUCCUAAUAUCCAACUUGAACAGAAAGUUAGUUACGCUUCCUCUUCGUGAUGUAACUUCUUUUUUCUGCGUACGUUCCCUGCUGCCCAUAGCAAGUCUCUCACAGGUUUCUGACGGGCGCUGACUGCCCCAGCCAGCCCAGCCCACGCUGCUCAGGACGCACCUCUUCCAGAGCGGCUUUCCGAGCCGGAAUUCAGCUGGGGAAGAAAGUGCCCAUUGACCCCCCUUUAUCUCCUAACGACCCCGCUCCGCUCCGCCUUUGGUCUCGCUGCCCGCAGAUGGGCCUUUUCGGAGCGCUACCUGCGGGCAUCAGCUCGUUGUGAAGGCGCAUAGCCUUGCGAGCCCGGUACUUAGAAACGCUUAGGGGCACUUGAGGCCUCAAUGCCGAGCGCAGCCCCCCGCCGCGGGGGCUUCAAAGCGCCGGCUGACACCCGGCCGGGCCGGAGCUCCCCCAGGCGCGCCCGGGGCGGGUGCAGGCCGCAGAGCCCAGCGGCACGCUACUGCUUCCGACGGGCCUUCUGUCGCCACCCACACGUCGGGGAGGCUGUUCAACAGCGGAUCCAAGCUAGGCCCGGCUGUGUCGGGGCCUUGGCGUGGUGAAAAUGUACCUUUUUAAAGUGCUGGAACAAAAAGCAGAGCGUCUUUUAAUGGGAUUUGGGGUACUGCUUCCAAUUGCUGCUGUUUAAGCAGGUUUCCACAGUUGCAUUUCGAGAAAGAAAUGUCACCUCAAAACUAAAUCCAACUGAAUACUUUUGCCAUCUCCUUUCUGUAGCUUUCUCAAAUAUUUGUGAAAAUGACAAAAGCACCUCCUUUGCAAAGCACUACACUUUCUGAAACGUCUUGUUUUGUUUCUGUAGCCAGCAGGAUGCCUUAAGCCCAGUAACAAAGAACAGUUACGUGAUCUUAAGUAGAAAAUUUUCCACUGCCAAGAAUGUGAUUCCAGCUCAGAGUCUGUUGAACUUUGUCUGUUUUAUACUGCCAUACUUACUGCUUAGGAUCAGAUCUGGAUUAGCUUUUACUAAUGAUUGCAGUUCCCUUUAAUACAAUAUUGCUGCUGAAGAUACAGGGUUUUUUAGCUAUCAUUUCUCCUAUAAAUUAGAAAAAGGACAUGACUGCUAAGACUACCUGGAAUACUGCUUUAUUUUCAAGUAGGGAGUUGUUUCUUUUAACUCCUGAUUCAGUAACUCAUGCCUGUUCUUCCUGUUCCAAACACCUGGUCUGGAAAAGGGUGCUCUUCUCACUUUCAUUAAUUAACCCCAUGACAAUAUGGGGCUUAUAUUUUUGUAUACCUAUGUACAUUUCUUUAAUGUGUAAGUCAUUAUUCUGCCUUUUUGAAUUGGUUAUGAUACAUAAUAAAUUGGCAGCUAAAUGUAAUUGGUUACCAAAGAGUAAAAUUGUUAAUAAUUCAACACCAUCCCCACUUAAUAUUAAAUAUAAUAGUUCUUUGGUUUUGUACAGCUAUUGAUUUCCCCUAUUUAAGGUAUAUACAUAUAUAUUUCAACAGCAGCUCUCUGGCUUUUUUACCCUUUGGGGUUUGAUUUUUUACACCUCAUAGUAUAUUUGAAGCUGCACUUCUUGUAGCUUCAGGACUGUAUACUUCCAUGCACUGAAAAUCCCUCAUCAUAAACUAAAAUGGAUUGGUGAGUUCUGCAGCUAUAGGGCAACACUUCUCAACAGAAAAAUAAAGGGGAGGGAAUGGGGGUGAGGAGGGAUUUUCAAUUAAUUUAGUCUCCUAACAUUCCCAUGAAGAAGGUGUCUCUUGUCUGCGUGUGAGAGAUUGAAACAGCCUGAGCAGUGGAAGGAUGGAGCUGACUUCUUCAUAAAAAUACUCACCGAGGUUCAGCAUCAGGCUGAAAUGCCCCAAGCCUUUCCCCAGCAUACUGCUGUGUCUCUGAUCAUUCUGCAUGCUGUAAGCUCUCUGCAGCCUUGAAAAUUAUGAAGAUUU